rnacentral:SRP_RNA from 1 species
GCCAGGUGUGGUGGUGGGAGCCUGUAAUCCCAGCUACCUGGGAGGCUGGGGCAGGAGAAUCACUUGAAUCCAGGAGGCCGAGGUUGCAGUGAGCUGAGAUCACACCACUGCACUCUAGCCUGGGCAAUAGAGUGAGACUCUGUCCCCC